GACGAACGCUGGCGGCGUGCUUAACACAUGCAAGUCGAACGGAAAGGCCCUGCUUUUGUGGCGUGCUCGAGUGGCGAACGGGUGAGUAACACGUGAGUAACCUGCCCUUGACUUUGGGAUAACUUCAGGAAACUGGGGCUCAUACCGGAUAGGAGCUCCUGCUGCAUGUUGGGGGUUGGAAAGUUUCGGCGGUUGGGGCUGGACUCGCGGCUUAUCCGCUUGUUGGUGGGGUAGUGGCUUACCAAGGCUUUGACGGAUAGCCGGCCUGAGAGGGUGACCGGGCACAAGGGGACUGAGGUAGGGAGCAGACGGCUAUGGGAGGCAGCAGUGGGGAAUAUGGCAGAAUGGGGGGAAGCCAGAGGCAGCAGCGCUGCGUGCGGGAUGACGGCUUACGGGUUGUAAACAGCUGUCGACUGAGACGAAGAGGGAGUGACGGUAAUGGGUAAAGAAGCACCGGCUAACUACGUG
rnacentral:rRNA from 1 species